GAUGAUCUUUUAAAUAUUUGAAAGAGGUACUAUAUCUUCCAUUAAGUUUUUUUUUUUUUAAGAAGGAAGGAAAUGAUCCUGUUUCUUUUAAUUAUUCUGAUGGUCUUUCCAAAUGUUACUCAUAGAAGUGAUCACAGUAGAUGUUUAAAUUAAGCAAAUUAUAAUGAGUUUGCUAUACAUUUCUUCUGCCUAUUAUAUUUCAAUUAAUCAGCCCUAAAAUUGUUAUUUCUUUUAUAUUUAUCUUUAGGCUGUUUAAUAUUAAUAUGUGAACACGUUUACUUUAAUAUAUCUAUCUGAUGUGUGUGUGUGGGAUAUACAUUUCAAAGACUCAGAGCCUGCAUAAUUAUUUACCAAGAUUACCCUACAUAUUUUUGGAAAGGAAAUGGUUUAUUCAUUACUGUCAAUCUGGGAAUGUCCUAUCCCCAGACAUUCUAUCACUUGUGCUCAUAUUCCAUUGCAGUUAAAUUAUCAAGCAAACCUCUCAAAAAGUCCUUCAAAAGAUGCAGCUCAGAGACAAAGCUGACAUGGUAAUCAACACAUAUGUAGUGCAGUGUGAGAACUGCUUUUAUAUUAGCAGCAUGAAGCCUCUGUAAAUAACCAAAAUACUCAUGACACUCUCAAACUGAAGAUGUCAAAGGUGAUAAAGGAGGAUGGUUACUAGAUAAACAGAAUUAUAAAAUAAUAAGAAAUUUGGAAAUACAUAUUGAAGGAAAAGGGUUGAUAUAAAAGAAGUAUCUAGAGUGCAGAGGUCAUGCUUGGUACUUUAUUGUCAUCUUUGUGUUUUAAUUAAAUGCAUUAUAUAACAUUGAUUCAUAGACCGAUUUGUAUAAUUUGACAGCUAUACAAUAAAAUAUUUGAUUAAUUACAAUCACAUUUUAUAACAAAAAGAUCUCACUCACUCACUAAAGGGACACAUAUUCUGAGAGAACAUGAAGAUCUAAUUAGCUUUUGGAAUCUUGGAGUCAUGUUCUUUAUUAAAGAGAUUUAUGAAUUUUGGUAAGUCAUUUAACUUCUCUUGGCUUUGUUUGCAUACUUUAAAUUGAAGGAUUUGGACUAAAUAACCUUCAACUUUCCUUCUACCUUGAAUAAUGCAUCAGUGAUUAAAAGAGAUGGUAAAGAGAAAUUAAAAAUUCUAUCAAACUUCAAAAAUGUAUAAAAUCCCAAGGCCACUGCCUUUCUACCAACUUAACUGAGUUUAUAGCCUCUUCAGAUCAGAAAACUUUUUGCAUGGGAUUAUUUUUUCAAGUAGAAUCCCCUGACUCAUAAGUCACGCCUUUGUCCUUAAAUCUCACUCAGUAAUCCAUGUAGACCUCUGACACCCCCACUUAAAUAAUCAUUACCCACAUAUGACUAUCCCUACAUCCCACACCAAAUAGGAUGCAGACACUACAUAGGCCUGAUAACUGCCUUUGCUCCUGGAGUCCUGAGAUGAGUCCAGACUUCUGUAUAGACCACUGUACUACUUGUACAAGAGGUGGCAGUAGUCUUCCAUCCAUAUGUAAAAGAUAACCCAGUGCAUGGCCUUCUGGGCCUAAAACAUCCAUCUAUUAUUGAAAACCUAAAAGCUAAGGCCAAAAUGAAAGAUUCUGGUUAUGGCUGCUAUUCAGUAAUUUUUCUGCAUUCUUCCUCCUGUCCCUUUUUAUCAAACAAUCAACACUCCUCCAUCAUUUUAAACUGUUCCAAAAUUUCCCAUUAUUUAUGUAUAUAAAUUUUUACAAUAUUGAGAAUUUUUUUCUAUCUCUUAUUGUUAUUCUGAAAUCUGAUGAUUUCCCAAGAGUACUACUUUUCUGUAAAGCUUUCUAGGGGAGGAAACUUAACCUUCUGCACCCUACCUAUAAGAAAACACCAAAAUUAAUAGUGUGAAAUUAUGAAAAGGUUUUUUUCCCAUCAGAUGACUUUUUUUUCCUUUUACAUUCAUUUAUCAUCUAUUUAUAAUUUUUUCUUUUUAAAAUGAUUUUUAGUUUUUGCAUUACAGUUGGUUCACAGUGUUCUGUCAAUUUUCUACUGUACAGCAAAGUGACCCAGUCACACAUACAUAUGUAUGUAGGUAUGUAUGUAUGUAUAUAUAUGUGUGUGUGUGUGUAUAUAUAUUCUUUUUCUCACAUUAUCCUCUAUCAUGUUCCAUCAUGAGUGCUAGAUAUAGUUCCCUGUGUUAUAUAGCUGGAUCUCAUUGUUUAUCUACUCCAAAUGCAAGAGCUUGUAUCUAUUAACUCCAGACUCGCAGCCCCACUCCCUCUCCCUCCCCCUUGGCAACCACAGGUCUGUUCUCUAAGUCCCUAAGUUUCUCUCUGUGGAAAUGUUCAUUUGUACCAUAUAUUAGAUUCCAGAUAUAAGUGAUAUCAUAUGGUAUUUGUUUUUCUCUUUCUGACUGACUUCACGUAGUAUGAGAGUCUCUAAUUCCAUCCACAUUGCUGCAAAUGGCAUUAUUUUGUUCUUUUUAUAGCUGAGUAGUAUUCUAUUGUGUACAUAUAGCACAUCUUCUUAAUCCAUUCAUCUGUCAAUGGACAUUUAGGUUGUUUCCAUGUCUUGGCUAUUGUGAAUAGUGCUGCAAUGAACAUACGGGGACAUGUGUCUUUUUCAAUGAAAGUUUUGUCCAGAUAUAUGCCUAAGAGUGGGAUUGCUGGGUCAUAUGGUAGUUUUAUAUUUAGUUUUCUGAGGUACCUCCAUACUGUUUUCUAUUGUUGUUGUACCAAUUUACACUGCCACCAACAGUGUACCCUUGAAAAGAUUUUAUUUUUGUCUCCUCCAACUCCACACUCCAUUUUUUACUUGACCCUUAAAAAAAUUAAUACACUUUAUAUCUUUUUGAUCAGUUUUAGGUUUACAGUUUCAGGUUUUCUGAGUGAAAGGUACAGAGAGCCUAUAUAUCUUCUGUCCCCAUCUCUCUCAAGUUUCCCCAGUUGUUAAUAUUUUGCACUUUGAUACAUUUGUUGCAAGUAAUGAACCAAUACUGAUACAUUAUUGUUAAUAAUAGUUUACAGGAGGGUUCACUCUUUGUGCUGUAUAAUUCUUUGGGUUUGGGCAAUAUAUCAUACCAUAUAUCCACCACUUAGUAUCAUACAGAAUAGUUUCACUGUCCUAAAAUUCUCUUGCACUCCACUGAUUCAUCCCUCCUGCUGUCUUUCCCCUGAACCUCUGGCAACUGAUCUUUAUACUAUCUCCAUAGUUUUUCCUUUUUCAGAAUGUCAUAUAGUUAGAAUUAUCCAAUGUGUGGUCUUUUCAGAUUGAAUUUUUUCACUUAGUAGUAUAUAUGUGUGUGUAUGUGUGUAUGCCAUUAUUUUAUUUUUGUAUGUCUCAGUGAUAUUCCAGUGUGUGUGUGUGGGGGGGGUAUUUAGAUUUUUAAUCCAUUUUGAGUUUAUUUUUGUAUAUGGUAUUAGAAAAUGUUCUAAUUUCACAUUUUUUCACAUGUAACUGACAAGUCUUCCCUGCCCCACUUGUUGAAGAGACUAUCUUUGCUCCACUGAAUAUUCUUGCUCCUUUGUCAUAGCUUAAUUGACCAUAAGUGCAUGUGUUUAUUUCUGGGUAAUCUAUCCUGUCCCAUUGAUCUCUGCGCUGCUUUAGUGCCAACACUAUACUGUUUUGAUUACUAUAGCUUUGAAGUAUAGUCUGAAGCCAGCACAUGCGAUUCCUCUAGCUCCAUUCUUCCUUCUCAAGAUCGAGAAAACAAUUGACUUUUGUAUAUUAGCUGUUUAUCCUCCGCCUUGCUAUAAUUGCCUAUUGCCUUGCUAUAGUUGCCUAGUUUCAGGAGUUUUUUGUCAAUUCUUUCAGUUUCUACACAGACAAUCAUAUCAGCUGCCUUUCCCCCAAAUUUUACUUGGGCUCUUUUUUUUUUUUUUCCUAUUGUUGAGUUUUAAAAGUUCUUUAUGUAUUUUGGAUGUUAGUUUAUAUAUAUCUCAAAGAUUUUUCCCAGUUUGUACUUUAUUUUAUCUAUAUCUUAAUCCAAAUCCAUUUUAAAAUCUUCUCUGUGGGUAUUGUUCUUCUCUCAUUCCUAGAUUGAAAAUUCAGUAGGGCUCUAUGACUUCCAAAAACAAGUUUUUCCUUGGCCACUUUAAGUGACAAAACACACGAUGUCUUUAGUAUAUUGCUUAGAUCCAUUUAAUAAUCAAAACCUGAUUCUUUCUUUAGGUUUGUAGUUUUCCUUGUUUGCUGUCCAUCCAUUUUCUGUUAAAAGAUUUUAUGGAAAAGUGGGAAAUUUCUUUUAGCAAAGGUAGGGUAUGUUAACAACUUCUGUCUUUUCCUACUUAGUAUUUCAGCUUCAUCUCACUAAACAUAUAUUCUGAUCCUUUUAGGAGUUGGAUCAUCAAGCAAUCAUAAUGAUUAGCAUUGGCUUUCUUUACACUAGAUGUCCAAAAUGGGCUUUUCCUUUCCUGAGUGCUUUCAUAAGCUUUUUGCUACCCUCUUUCCCUUCCCCUCCUGCUAUGGGCUGAAUCAUGUCCCCCUCCAAAUUCUUACAUUGAACUCCUAACUCCCAGUAGCUCAAAAUGUUACUGUAUUUGGAAAUAAGGCCUUUAAAGAUACCAGCUAAAAUAAGGCUAUUAGAGUGGGAUGUAAUCCAAUAUGACUAAUGUCCUUACAAGAAGAGGAAAUUUGAUUUGGGCACAAGAAGACACAGGGAUAUUUUCUCACAGAGGAAAGACUGUGUUAGGACACAAUGAGAAGGUGGCCAUCUAUAAGCCAAGGAGAGAGACCUUAGAAGAAACUAACCUGCUGACAUAUUGAUCUUGGACAGCCCUACAAAACAAAAUGCACUGCUAGUCACCUAGGGUCUCUCAUCUGCUUUUGACUUAAUGAAUAUAUACAUCUAUCCUCUGGCUUUUUCUUCAUUCCCCAGGUACCUGGGAACACUCCCACUUUGUUCUUCAAAUUUAACAUGAUACCAUAAUGGUUUUCACACAUAUGGCCUGUAGCAAUUUUUGGAAAAUGUUGGUGCUUCUUUUUAAUAUAAAUUCCUAAUUUUAGAAUAUCUUGGAUUUAUAGAAUUAUUACAAAGAUUGUACAGUGUUCUUAUAUACUCCACACCCAGUUCCUUUAUAGUUAACAUUUUUAUUAGUAUGAUACAUUUAUCACAACUAAUGAGCCAAAAUUGAUAUGUUUGUAGGAAAGCCAAUGCUGCCACUUUUUCUUAAGUCAGUUAUCAGAACAGCUAUUCUAUUAUUUUUCAGGCUAUAAUUACACACCAGUUUACUGUGCCUCUCAAAAUACAAGCAGUCCAUUAAAAUCUCCAUGACUGGUCCUAUAGGAGCAUUUUGUCUGAGGCUUCAAAUAAUGGUUCGAUAAUUCCCCCCAAGAUACUAUGUCAAGAGUUCCCCCAAAUCUUCUUCUCCUCACCUACUUAUAUCCUGAUGUUGUUGAGGGCUUUAAGUUUCAAAUAAUUCAUUUUUUUCUUCUGAAAUUUUCCCAACAUAUCCUCCCACUCCACUUUAUAAUACAGUGUAUUGUUUGUGUUCUAUAGCUGAGAUUUUAUGAUCUCUUACUUAUUAUAUCAGGACAGAACAAAUCAAAAUACAAAAUGAUAUACUCACAAGGGCUAAAUGGAAAAGGUAGAAAGUACAAAGUGUUGACAAGAUGUAGAGAAAGAAGAGUAUCAUACACUGCUGGUGGGAGUAUAUAUUAGUACAACCAUUUUGGAAACAGUAACAAAAAAUUUUAAACAUAUUAUAUGGUCUAGCAAAUAUAUAUCCAACAAAGAAAUUGUGUAUUUGUUUACCAGAUGACAUGAACUAGAAUUAAACUGGAAACCACUUAAAGGCCCAUUAACAGUAGAAUGGAUAAAUAAAUAGUAUUAUUUUGCACAAUGGAAUGAUACAGAAAUAGGAAUAAAAAACUUUUCAUAUAUAUAAAUAUACAUAUAUCUCUCAAUAUGUGACCUUCGAAACAUACUUUACGUAGUGUUGAAUGGGAAAAACUUGACACAAUAGAAUACAUAUUAUAUGAUUCUGUUUACAUAAAGUAGGAGGAAAAUGGAUCAAAUUUGUUAGCAAUCAUGCUAGUGGUUCCCUCUGGUGGAGAUCAUGACUAGAAGGGAGUGUGAGAGGGGGGUCUGUGUCACUCAUAAUUUUCUAUUUCUUGAUCUGAUGCUGGUUCCACAAACAUUUUCAGUUUGUGGAAAUACAUCCAGAAGUUUACUUAUGAUAUGAGCAUUCUUCAGUGUGUUCAUUAUGAUGCCCCCCAAAAUGAAAAAAAAAA
rnacentral:lncRNA from 1 species